rnacentral:ncRNA from 1 species
AGAAAAAUGUUGUGUUUUUAUUUAUUUUUGGUAUCAGAGAUGAAACUCACAACCUCACACUUGCCAGGAAUGCACUUAUGUCACUAAGGUACACUGAUUUUUCACUGACCCUGUUGAGAUGCGGAAGGGAGCCCAAAGGGCUCUCGCUUAUGGAACCAAGUGCCUGGCCACCCUUGUGUAUGUCCCCUGAGUGCCAUAUUCCCUGGGGACAGUGCCAGGUGAGGAGUUUGACUGGGGCAGUACACCUGUCAAACAGUUACACAGGUUCCCUAAACUGAGCUCAGAGAGGACAGAAACCUCCCAUGGAGGCCAAGGGCAAAAGCUCCCUUCAUCUUGAUUUUCAGUAGGAAUAAAGACUGUGAAAACAGGGCUUCAGGAUCCUUCUGACCUUGUGGGAUUUAAGCAGAAGGUAUCAGAAAAGUUACCAUAGGGAUAACUGUCUUGUGGCAGACAAGUAUUCAUAGCAAUGUCGAUUUUUGAUCAUUCUGAAGCAAAAUUCACCAAGAUU